rnacentral:rRNA from 1 species
ACGUAGGGGGCGAGCGUUGUCCGGAUUUACUGGGCGUAAAGGGCGUGUAGGCGGUUGGAUAAGUCUGAUGUGAAAUCUCAUGGCUCAACCAUGAGACUGCGUUGGAAACUGUCUGACUGGAGUUCGGCAGGGGUUACUGGAAUCCCCGGUGUAACGGUGAAAUGUGUAGAUAUCGGGGGGAACACCUGUGGCGAAGGCGGGUAACUGGGCCGCAACUGACGCUGAUACGCGAAAGCGUGGGGAGCAAACAG